CCUGAAUUUCUUCCAUCAAUGGGGAUGGAUUGAGCUUACUAAUUCAUGAGGACCUUGAUUUUGAGUUCUAUUCUUCUGUUUUCCUAAUUUCCAUGGAGGAUAAAUGGGAGAAAUUAAGAAGGCUGAAGAAGAAAUUAAUCUUGAUGGGAGCUACAACUAUAAUUGUUGAAGAAGAUGAAUUUGAAAGAUGGAGAAGGCAGAAAAAAAGGGCAC
rnacentral:misc_RNA from 1 species